UCCUCCGGAUCUAUUCUGCUUCAAGUUCAUUACUCCUUGAGAUCUGCCAGGAUUGCCUUAUUCCCUCCUGCCUGACUCCCACCCCACCACCAUCACCUGAGUUUGCUCAUAUCACUCUUAUAUUUCCCCAAGCUCUUGCUACCCCCAUCAUGUUGCCUGUUUUCUCUGCUAAAACUCUGAGCCCCCAGUGAUGGGGAGUCGUGUCUAUUUUGUUGACUAAUAAAGCCCAAGAGCCUUGGGAAUGGGUAUAGUUACUAGAUUCCCAUAAGUAGUAGGAGCUUAUACAGAUUUGCUGAAUGAAUGCAGAGGUCCUGGUCCAAUUCGAUGGAGCACUUCUGUGUCCUGCUCAAAGAUUAACUCUCCUUUCCUCCUGAGAGAGGGUGACCACUUCCUUGGUGAUCAAAGAUUGAACAGGAUCCAGGGGGAAGUACCAAGCCUGUCCCAUCGGCCAUCCUGUGUGUCAUGUCCUGUGACCCAGUGGAUGCUCAGCACCCUCCAGCUGAAGAAACAGAUUGCCUUAGGUACAUGAAAGGUGAGGACACCUACUAUCCCCAUGGAGCCCAGGUGGGGCUGGGAGUCUGCUGUUUG